AACGAACGCUGGCGGCAGGCUUAACACAUGCAAGUCGAGCGCCCCGCAAGGGGAGCGGCAGACGGGUGAGUAACGCGUGGGAAUCUACCCAUCUCUACGGAAUAACGCAUGGAAACGUGUGCUAAUACCGUAUACGUCCUUCGGGAGAAAGAUUUAUCGGAGAUGGAUGAGCCCGCGUUGGAUUAGCUAGUUGGUGGGGUAAAGGCCUACCAAGGCGACGAUCCAUAGCUGGUCUGAGAGGAUGAUCAGCCACACUGGGACUGAGACACGGCCCAGACUCCUACGGGAGGCAGCAGUGGGGAAUAUUGGACAAUGGGCGCAAGCCUGAUCCAGCCAUGCCGCGUGAGUGAUGAAGGCCCUAGGGUUGUAAAACUCUUUCACCGGUGAAGAUAAUGACGGUAACCGGAGAAGAGCCCCGGCUAACCUCGUGCCAGCCGCCGCCGUAAGAC
rnacentral:rRNA from 1 species